rnacentral:sRNA from 1 species
UCGUAACAAGGUUUCCGUAGGUGAACCUGCGGAAGGAUCAUUAUCGAAGAAGCACACUUCUUCUCCAACCCCUGUGAACCGUCGUCCGAGCAUGAUGCUCGGACGCUCCAUACAUACUCUUGUGUCGUCCGCGCAUGUCAUUUGUUUACGAACAUACAUAUAACUUUCAGCAACGGAUCUCUUGGCUCUCGCAUCGAUGAAGAACGCAGCGAAAUGCGAUAAGUAAUGUGAAUUGCAGAAUUCAGUGAAUCAUCGAAUCUUUGAACGCACCUUGCGCUCUCCGGCACCCCGGAGAGCAUGCCUGUUUGAGCGCCUUAACCGCGUUGUGCGCCCGCUUCGGCGAGCGCGCAGAGUUGGGCUGUGCCGGCCUCGCGCCGGCUCGCCCUGAAUGCAUGAGCGACCUCGAGCGCGCACUGACGUGAUAAGAUCGUCGUUAGCGCGCGCGCCGCGGCCGCUUCGAACCGUCCUCGGACACCACACCCAUCAUGCGAGGCAUCAAAUCAGGUAGGACUACCCGCUGAACUUAAGCAUAUCA